rnacentral:misc_RNA from 1 species
AACCCUCUGGACGCUUCGUCUUCGUCCGCAAAGAUCAGUGUGUGUUUAUGCGAGUUUGGAGCAUUCGAGUUUCGAGCUUAUAUGAGUUUCGAGCGAGUGACUGACUCCUGUGUUUGCCUCCUUUCGCGGAAAUCAAUUGUUUUCUGUGUGUCCGUUUCCAUACGGCUUCAACAAAGGCAUCUGAUGCAUUAUAAACGAGACCAUUUCUUUUGAAGACCAUGCCUGAGCUUCCGCGCAUCGUAAUACUCCGCGGAUUCCAGCGGGGAGUCGACUGGAGACCAACACAACUGGCUGAUCCGGUUCCCUCGACGCUGCAUGCAUGUAGCCUGUGUGGUGGCGUGCAGAGAACUAUCAAUGUGCUUCCAUGCUUGCAUGCAUUCUGCGACAAUUGCCUGCAAGCGAGUGAGGCCGAAUCUCAAGACUGUCACAUGCGCUGCCUACUGGAUGGCAUGUCGUUCGUCUGCGAGCGAGAAAUAGUUAGUAAGGAAUGUUCUGCGGAAGAUGCUGCGUCGCUGAAGGUGGUGUGCUGGAACGCGUGCUAUGGCUGUGAUUUUAUGGGGCCAGUCUCUAGUUUACCAGAGCACUUCGAGGAGAACUGCUCAUUUCAUCCAGCCGUCUGUCCUCGAUGCAAUGUUACCAUACUUCUAACGGACCUGCCGUGCCAUUAUCAAACAGGCUGCAUGCCGUCUCUUGAACGGAGUGACCUGACAACUCGGGAUGCGCAAAGCAGCAGUUCUACAGUGCACAGUACUUGGCACGACGAUGUCACGCUCACAGCUCAUGACACACUAGUAAGCCUGGAAUCCAGGAUGAAUGAGCUCGUCGAGUACAUAAGAAACCUCGAUACGAAAUCUACGCUUAUGAGUGUGAGUCUCAGUGAAGCCACUGACUUUCUGCGGCAAAUGGCUUCCACACCCACUUCCCCCUCCACUUCUAUAACUAACACUCUGAGUCCAGAAAUGACGCCAUUAUCAACCGAUUUUCAAGAGAAUAAGCAAAUUAACGUACCGCAAGAAAACAGGACAGCUGACGUAGAUGGGUCUGUAGCCUCCCUAAUUGAUACUUCUGUCGUAGCUGGUCCCCUUUCGCGUGCCCGGGAAACGAUACAUGCAGAGAUGUUGCCUGAGGCCGUCUCUUAUACGCCUACGGUGCGUAGACCCUUCAGAAGACAAACGACGCAGCUGACACAAUACCUGUCGGAGCAACAUGGUGACGGUAGAGAGAAGCGAGCCCUUCUGGUGUUGUUCAAGAGGACAAAGCCAGUGAGUACUGGCUCGGCUUCUGAUUUCCUACCGCUCUAUGACCUCCUUAAACGCGGCUUAGAACUCUCUAUUCCAGAGACGUGGACAGCGAAGGUGGUCUUGGAUGGCAACGAAGACUGCCAUGUAAAAAUCGUCAUACUGGAAGAGAACUCGGCGCUGGACGUCUACGCUAAAGUUGAAGAGCGGCGAAAAACUUUCAACCCGUGGAAGGUGGAGUCCGUGAGGUUGACGCAUCCCAACGAGAAAGCCUUUUCAUCGUCCACCGUUGUCCGUCGUCUUUUUGAACCUACGUGGACACAUUCCAGAGCUGCUCGCCUGAAGUUUCAAGCCAGCGGGUAUGGAUUCUAUGGAUCCAACAGGUUUGAAGCUAUGUGUCGGCGCGGUUUUGUGGUGGGGAACAACACUGUGAAAUUCUGCGUUACGCUCGUGCGCAAAUGGAACGCUCCCGGAGAAUCCACCACGGCAGAAGGAAUAUCCAGUACAAUGGUGCCAGUCACAUCAAAUGAAACGUAGCCUGUUUUCUUCGGUUGCUUGAAGCAUUUCAGAUCAUACUCUCAUCAUGUUUUUCAUCAAAACAUGAAAUAUAUUCUUCUCAAGUUCAAUAUAUGCACAAUCAAUUGCAAUACAUAUGAAUGCGUUACGGUCACGUCUGUACACGUGUGCGAUUCAAUUUAGGUCCUAAAAUAGUAAUUUUAUUCACACGUAUACAAUACACGUCAGCUAAAUGCAAUAAAGGUGGCAAGCUAGGCAUGCCUCCUGAUAAUGGAUAAAAACCUUGGUACUGCAAUGAACAGUCAGCGGUAACCGAGAUCUGCAAUAACAUUUUGGACUACGUAAAGAGCACAGUUUCAGACAAUGCAGAUAUAGCGCAGCCUCAAUGCAAAUUUUGGGUGCAAAAUUUUUGUGGAUGCGUGCAAGAAGGCUACCGAGAAUGGAUGCCUUUUAUAUACAAAAUAAAUUAAAUCCCGUUACACAUUGAAAAAUAACUGAGGAAUUUGUUGAAGGUUGCAAUUGAAUCUGGAAUUUACGUUUUAUUCGCGUAGCACCAGGAGCACACAUCGUCUGCUUAGAUGCUCUUUAACGGUUACUCAAAUAUACAACUAACAGCCCUAAGCUUUCACAAUAUGGCUUCAGUAGUAUAAGUAGUGAUCCGUAACAAAUUCGCUCAAAGCGAGAUUUGUUUUCGGCUGGCCUUUGAAAAGCAAAGAAAUAAAAGCACACUGAGAUAGUCAUAAAACAAAGUAUUAUUACGCAGAUUGAUGGUCUAUGAUAGAAAUAUAUAAAAAUCUCUCAAUUCAAUUAUAUGUAGGAGUUAAUGCUGGACGCCUGAUGUCUCGCGGUAAAAGAUACGUUACUGUGUUAGACGGCUUAAGACACAGCGGAGCUAGUGAUCACCUAGGUUCUUGUAGUGUUUGCUAGAUAUUUUUGUUUUUUGAAAUAUAUUUAAUGUCUUUAUGAAAUACAUGAUGAGAGUAUAAUCUGGUUAUUAGGACUAGUCAAGUUGCUGUUUGUAGCAAAUUUUUCCUAAUGCCUUGGCACCGUGUAUCACUUGUUUU